rnacentral:misc_RNA from 1 species
GUUAAUAUUGCAUAUUUAUAUAGCAUUGUGUAUGAUCUAACAUUAACAUGACAUGCUAAUGUAGUACAAUAUAUAAUGUAAUACUGAUAUAAUAUGUUGAUAUGAUAGUGAAAUGGUAAUGUUAGCGAUAGCGAUGCGUUAUCAAGUUUGAAAUAAUAUGAAAAAUAAGGAAAGAGUGAGAGGGGGGCAUAGGAGGUAGAGAGGGAGAGAGGGCGACAAAGUGAGAGGAAGAAGGAGAGAGAGG